ACGCACCCUCUCGCUCUGGCACGACACCGGAAAUAUACUCAACGUGACGAUACGUGAUGAGCAUUGUAAACAAAAUGUUUUCCUAACCUGCAGAGGGAAUGCCGUCUCAAGCGUCUUUCAUUUGAAUCUCCAGAAUGUUGUGUGAAGUCCUGCUCUCAUCACUAUGGUUCCUUUUUGUCAUCUUCUGGGUCGAGACGAUAAGUGUGUGGCUGUUUCUCUCCAUGUUCUACCAAGACCGGGCGUUGUACCACUGGGGAGAUGGGGUAUUUGCAGAUGAUCCUGGGCAGAUGAUAUACAUGUUGAGCAGAGUUGAUGAUACUCAUACACAGAGGGAGAUGCAGACCUGAGACAGAAGAAGAUCAAGGACUCCUCUAAAAAGGACUCUGAAUAGACGGCGGUUGCAGUUAUGUGACUCGAGAUGAAAAGCAGUAGCUGUUUCCUUUGCACUGACUGCCUUGCACACUGAUGUGCACAGUCCUUUAUAACAUAGGUAAAUAUAGUAGGUCCACUUUGAAAAAUAGGUGGAGGAGAGUUGUGGCAUGAACAUAGAAGGAGGUGCUCGAUGAAUAAUGUGUAUAACACCCACCGCUGUAACAUUUAUAUUUUCACUUUCACAUUUUGGGGAAGCUAAAUGAGGGUAGCGGCAAAUGCUUGGGUUACAAAGGAUGAUUUCAUCCAUGCAUUUUUCUAUUAUUUCAUUAAACUACAUUUUGAGACUUGCACCAAGAUGGUGUUUUGAUCAUACAGCUGCUCUAUGCAAGUAAAGUUGUUGCUAUCUUCCAGCUAUAUUUGUGUUUUGAAAUGUCAGAUCGCAGUAAAUCUGUUAUCAGCUGGGCACAUGAAUGUUAUGAACAAUUGUCAGAUGUUUUGUUGUAUGUUUGAUGUCACAGCAAGAGCUAAUAUGAAUAUGGGAGGUGGUGGAAGUUUGGACCCCAGAUAGAUGAUCAUGGGUUCAUAAUGUGGUUUAUGGGUUUACAAUACUUUUCACAAAAUAACCCUCAAACACAUUAGACAAACUCUAAACAGGAUCAACAUACAGUAACAUUUUUUUUUUGUGUCUAAAAUGGGAAAAUAAAAGUGAAGAGAAUGUACUCCGUGAUAGGAAUACUCUCUCAAAACAGUACUGUUCCACCCAGUAAAUUAAAUAAAAGUGAAAUAUUACUCUAAAAAUAUAUAACCUUUUGCAAGCCUGUGAGAUUAUUGGUCUGUCCAGACAUUGUUGUAAUCCCUUUUGCUCUCUGUCAUUGAAGGGAUUUGCUUUUAAACAAAAUCAAUGUAAAGUUUUGGUUUCACUUUGUAUCUGAGGCAAAGAUAUGUUGUUUUGUAUGAAUAUAUCGAAUAAAUUUAAGUAUUUUCAA